rnacentral:rRNA from 1 species
UGGGAAUAUUGACAAUGGCGCAAGCCUGAUCCAGCAAUGCCGCGUGAGUGAUGAAGGCCUUAGGGUUGUAAAGCUCUUUCGCACGCGACGAUGAUGACGGUAGCGUGAGAAGAAGCCCCGGCUAACUUCGUGCCAGCAGCCGCGGUAAUACGAAGGGGGCUAGCGUUGUUCGGAAUUACUGGGCGUAAAGGGCGCGUAGGCGGCCUGUUUAGUCAGAAGUGAAAGCCCCGGGCUCAACCUGGGAAUAGCUUUUGAUACUGGCAGGCUUGAGUUCCGGAGAGGAUGGUGGAAUUCCCAGUGUAGAGGUGAAAUUCGUAGAUAUUGGGAAGAACACCGGUGGCGAAGGCGGCCAUCUGGACGGACACUGACGCUGAGGCGCGAAAGCGUGGGGAGCAAACAGGAUUAGAUACCCUGGUAGUCCACGCCGUAAAACGAUGAAUGCUAGACGUCGGGGUGCAUGCACUUCGGUGUCGCCGCUAACGCAUUAAGCAUUCCGCCUGGGGAGUACGG